CCACGUCGAGUGUAGGUACGCAUAUCACUAGUUGAACCACCUUUAGCUUUUCUUGGUAAAGUGCGUCCCUCAAGUCCUUGUGAGGCACCCGAAGCUAUAUCCACCGCACUCCAAAACCUAUCCUCAAUAUCAUUCAUCCAAUCAUUAGUCCACUCCAAGUCUUCAAAUAUUAGUGGAUUAUAUUUUUCUCCAAGUUCACGCAUCUUUUUGAAUCGGGAAUCAUUCUUCCGGUUGUAUUGAACAUACACCAAAUCAUUUAAACGUUGAUGUUCCAACCUAUUCCUCUUCUUUGUAUGUAUCUAAAUUAAUCAAAUAUAAAAAUUAAUUAAAUAACAAUAACAAUAACAAUAACAAUAACAAUAACAAUAACAAUAACAAUAACAAUAACAAUAAUAAUAAUAAUAAUAAGUUACAAUCAUUGAUGACUUAUGAAGUUAUGUUAGAAUCAUUGCAGGUGUAUAGAAAAGUGGAAAAACAGGGCAGGUGUGGCAGAGCCAAAACAGAGCAAAACAGGGGAGGUGGUGAAAAACAGAGCAUAUAGCUACUGUCCAGGACUACUUGGAAUUUUUUUUGUUCAUUCUGGCCGCAAAUUUGUGUUAACUAACAAUUGGAAAUCAAUGGGGCAAGGUUGCUGAUCACGUGUAAAAGCUCUGAACAUUAAAAAAAAAGCCAUAUUUUUUAAAUUUAAAUAUGAAUUAAAAAUAAUUUUAAAAUAAUCUAAAAAUAAUUAAACGUUUUUAAUAAAUCUGGACUUAUAAAAUAAAUAAAAUUUAAGUAAACUAAAACUAGAAUGUAAUUUUUAAAAAUAAAAGUUGAAACAAAAUAUUAAUCAAAAUUAAUUAUAUUAAAUAAAAAUAAUUAUUAAAACGUUUUUGAUAGAAUAAAACUUGAUAAAAAUUAAAAUAGUUUUUCAGAAAAAAAAGGAUAAAAGAAUAAAUAUUAAAAACAGUUUAAAUAAAUGUUUUUACAUAAAAUUAGAAUUUAAAAUUAAUUUUCCAUACAAAAAAAAAGAAUUUAAAAUUAAUUUGGAAAAGUAAAAUAUAAAAGUAAAUCAAAAACAAUUAAAACUAACAGUACGUGGUGUCGGUCUGUGUGGAUGUACGACAAACGUGUACACGCGUCCCCAACCCAGAAUAUAUACACACACCACCGUGUGUAUAUACAUACAAGCGGGGUGAUUGACAACUAAAGAAAAUCAGAGAGAAAUCGGAGAAGAGAGACAGAGAAAGGAGGGGAGAGGAGAGGUGAAGAGCGAAAGAGGAGAAGGGAGGGAGAGAGAGAGAGAGGAGAGAUGAAGGAGAGAAGCUUACCGGAGAGAAGCUGAUGAGCUGAUGAAGACGAAGGGGAGAAGCUUCCAGAUGUUUCCAAAUGUUUGCAGCAGAUGUUUGCAGCAGCGAAUGAAGAUUUACGGUAAGUGUAGGUUAAAAAUUGUAAUCGGGUCGGGUUUAACCUAGUUUGGACCAGGUCGGGUCGGAUUUG
rnacentral:lncRNA from 1 species